AAAAGAUACAAAGACAAAGACUCAUAUGGACUUCGGCUACACCAUCAAAGCUUUGAGAUGGAAGAAGAAGCUUGGUUACUGUUUUGGAGUCAAAUAUGACUAAAUGUCAUGUGUAUGAGUGAGUUUAAAAACUAGAAUCGCAACCAGAUCUUAAAAGCCUAAGUAUUAUAUCCUUGUUAGAGGAUACAAAGACAAAGACUCAUACGGACUUCGGCUACACCAUCAAAGCUUUGAGAAGCAAGAAGAAGCUUGGUUAGUGUUUUGGAGUCGAAUAUGACUUGAUGUGAUGUGUAUGAUUAAGUAUAAGAAUUU
rnacentral:sRNA from 1 species